UAGGGAAUUUUGCGCAAUGGACGAAAGUCUGACGCAGCAAUACCGUGUGAGGGAUGAAGCAUUUCGGUGUGUAAACCUCUGUCGAUGAUGAAUAAAGCAUUGGGGAGUGGAAAGCCCCGGUGUUGAAGGUAAUCAUGAAGGAAGCACCGGCUAACUCUGUGCCAGCAGCCGCGGUAAUACAGGGGGUGCAAGCGUUGUUCGGAAUUACUGGGCGUAAAGGGAGCGUAGGCGGAAUUGCAAGACAGAGGUU
rnacentral:rRNA from 1 species